ensembl:lncRNA
AUGGGGUGGGAUAGGCCACAGCGGAGCAGUGGGGCUUCAGGGACUGGCUGCGGCCCCACCCCACAGGCAGGCACAGGUCCUGGAGGACACACCUGGGUUUUCUCCUCCUCCACCAGGACCCUGGCCUGCAGAAGGCCCCUCACCACGCCGACAGGGGCCUGUAAAAUGCAAACCCAGCUGUAUCCACCAACUGCUUCCACCACGCAGGUGAAGCUGCCUUCUGCCCAGGGCCAGGAGCUCACGGGGCGUGGCCCGGCCACCUCGGCGACUUCAUGGAGCACCACCCACCUUCACCCUUCACUGAGCCCCCACAGCCCUGCGCCUCGGGGGACCCACCCCGGCGGGGCUUCGCUCCAGGCGGGGCUGGGCUGUCGCUGGCUCCACUGGGCCCCUCACACAUGCUGUUCCCACCUCUGGAACACGGUUCCUGACUACUCCCGUCACCUCACCCCACUCACUUGGAAAGGUGGACGCCCGUCACAGCCCCACCCCGACCUGUGUAGCUCUGUGUGGGGCCCUGGCCGCACUGUAAGUUCCACAAGCCUCUGUGGACCGCGCGGGUGGCCGUCUCUCCCCAUGCCCAGCACAGUAGCCAGCACAUCCUGGAGGUGCACGCGGUGUGUGCCAGGUGGAGGGACCACGAAACUUCAUGAAGCUCCGUGUCACCAAGGACCAUCACUGAGGGCAGAGGCGCCCCCAUGUCUGUGUUUCAUGUCAGACAUCAAACUCCUGGAAAACGGCAGCUCGAAGGCCUCCUACUCCUGCGUGGGACAAGGGCUCUGGUGGUCGCCCACCCCGCCCCCAGGUCUCCACCUCCACACCCCCUCCUCCCCUCGGAGAGCCCAGGGCCGAAUCCCCACACCCAGCCCCUUUCCCCUGGGCUUCCCCACUGCUUAUGGGUCCCGCCAAGCCUCGAGCCCCCCAGGAGGGCCUUGGUAACAGGGCUCAGGGCCGCCCGUCUGAGCUGCUCCCCUGGAAGGUGGCGUGGCAGCCCUCGGCUCCUCCUGGGCAAACCCAAGGCCGGCGACCGAUUCACGCCCCGGGUGACCCUGACAGCGCCAGCUCCAGCAGCACAUCUCACCAGGAGGGCCGCCUCUGUUUAGAAAAACCGGAAAGUGCGUGAGCGAAUUCUACACCCCCAGAGUCUUCUUGAGUAGAAGUGGCCACGGCUCCCAGGUGGCUCAGAUGGGGUUGGCGUGAGCUAGUUAUUGAUGGAAAUGUGACUUGGUGGGAAGGUUCCGGAAGGGGCAGUGAGGCGAGGUGGGGCAGGAAUGAGGAGAUGACACCACAGAAAUUCAAAAACCCCGAGCAGUGGCUCCCCACCUGUGCUUCUCGUACUCCCAGGGUCCCCGCACACUGGAGCGGGUCCCCUCCCCACCAGCUCGAAGUCCGAGACAGGCGGGGUGGUGGCCGGGAGGCCGCUGUGGGGAGGGGCUGACCAGGGUCUGGGGUGCACAGAUUUCCCUUUGGGAAUAAAAGUCACGGUGGGAAGUUUGAGGAAGAGGGAGGUGAGCGCCACGCUCCUGGGUGCUCCAUGGACGGGCGUCCUGUUAAGCCAGGGCUUGGGCUGGGUGAGCCUGAGGCACAGAGGCAGCGAAGGCAGGAUUUGCUAGAGUUAGGAAGGUCCUUCCACCCCCUCCUCCAUGUGUCUGGCCUGCCAUCCUUCUGACCUAGAGAGACACAGAGAAGGAGAGACAGAGACAGACGGAGACAGAGAUGGAGAGACAGAGAGAGAUAGUGAUGGAGAGACAGAGAGACAGAGAUGGAGAGACAGAGAUAGAGACAGAGAUGGAGAGACGGAGAGACAGAGAGACGGAGAGACAGAGACAGACAGAGACAGAGAUGGAGAGACAGAGAGAGACAGACAGAGAUAGAGAGACAGAGAGAGUGAUGGAGAGACAGAGGCAGACAGAGAUGGAGAGACAGAGACAGAGACAGAGAUGGAGAGACAGAGAGAGACAGACAGAGAGAGAGAGACACAAGACAUCAGUGGUCUGGGUCUGUGUCCGUGGUUGGAUCUUGGGCUGCAGGUGACCAUCGAGGACUGAGCUGUGAGGGAGACGGGGUCGGAGCUGGGCCAGCCGGGAGGGGCAGGGCACGCUGGAGCGGAAGGCAGCCGGUGGAUCCCCACAUAUGUGAGCUGUUCCAUUUUUCUGUCACAGAGAAGGGCAGAGACGAUCUCACUCCCGUGGCUCGGACUUUGUCAGGGAACCAAGAAAUGCAGCAGGAGGAGUGUGGUCUCCUUCCUUAUCACGACUGACAUGGAAAAAUCACAAGGCAGGCAGCCUCCCUGUGGCAGAGGCCCGAGGCAGGUGCUGCUCAACCCCGGGACAACAGCACCCAUACGGGGACAGUGGAAAGAGAAAAGGAAGAGAGUCCAGGGGGUGGGCUGUGAGGAUCAGGGGCUGGGGCCCCAUGCCAUGGGCUGGUCUCCCUCCAUGGAUAUGCCAGGGUACCCUCUUCACCUGCCAUCCUCAUCAUAGGUGGUGUUGGUCAUCUGUGACCUUCCUGGUAUCUACCCCCCCACAAC